rnacentral:rRNA from 1 species
GUGGCGACGGGUGAGUAACACGUGGGCAAUCUGCCCUUCACUCUGGGACAAGCCCUGGAAACGGGGUCUAAUACCGGAUAACACUCUGUCCCGCAUGGGACGGGGUUAAAAGCUCCGGCGGUGAAGGAUGAGCCCGCGGCCUAUCAGCUUGUUGGUGGGGUAAUGGCCUACCAAGGCGACGACGGGUAGCCGGCCUGAGAGGGCGACCGGCCACACUGGGACUGAGACACGGCCCAGACUCCUACGGGAGGCAGCAGUGGGGAAUAUUGCACAAUGGGCGAAAGCCUGAUGCAGCGACGCCGCGUGAGGGAUGACGGCCUUCGGGUUGUAAACCUCUUUCAGCAGGGAAGAAGCGAAAGUGACGGUACCUGCAGAAGAAGCGCCGGCUAACUACGUGCCAGCAGCCGCGGUAAUACGUAGGGCGCAAGCGUUGUCCGGAAUUAUUGGGCGUAAAGAGCUCGUAGGCGGCUUGUCACGUCGGAUGUGAAAGCCCGGGGCUUAACCCCGGGUCUGCAUUCGAUACGGGCUAGCUAGAGUGUGGUAGGGGAGAUCGGAAUUCCUGGUGUAGCGGUGAAAUGCGCAGAUAUCAGGAGGAACACCGGUGGCGAAGGCGGAUCUCUGGGCCAUUACUGACGCUGAGGAGCGAAAGCGUGGGGAGCGAACAGGAUUAGAUACCCUGGUAGUCCACGCCGUAAACGUUGGGAACUAGGUGUUGGCGACAUUCCACGUCGUCGGUGCCGCAGCUAACGCAUUAAGUUCCCCGCCUGGGGAGUACGGCCGCAAGGCUAAACUCAAGGAAUUGACGGGGGCCCGCACAAGCAGCGGAGCAUGUGGCUUAAU